rnacentral:lncRNA from 1 species
GGUCGAUCUGCGCCACCGUUAUGUGCAUAAGUUGCACUUUUACCAUGAAGAGUGGUGUAAGGCUGAUGCAGCUCAACCUUUUUUCCUACUGGAUAUCACUCGGUGUUAUAUGGCUAGAAGAGAAGGUGAAAGUGAUGUCUCUGUGGACUUGACAAGAGGGCCUUUAAUCGCGCCAUCCUAUUCUCUACCAGAAUCCGAUCUUCCUUCAGCCGAUCUCCCUAAAAGUGUUACAAGUGGCACAGAGAUUGUAAAUACCGAUGAAAAAAGAUAACUCGGGCCUGAGCUGAUUUUGAUAUCAUAUGCCGAGUCACCUAACACCAAGGAUUCACUUGGAAAAACCAACACUUAGAUCGUUUCACCUGGAACAUUUAAGGCAACCAAAAGAAUGGGAAUAUGUGCAUGGGCUGGUUGUUAUCUCGAUCUUGAAGUUUAGUGCAUGCAGCUUCUUUAUUUUGUUUAUUGUUGAUUAUUUAGAGUCAAAGUAAUCACAUAUGGAUAAUUUGGCCAGAAUACAUUAUCAUCGAUGCAAAUAGCGAGGUUAUGGCCCCGAAUAAUUACAUCGAGUUCAUUACGCGUCAAGAACAAGUUUAUCUCAAUGGGCCGUAUUGAUGAUGCAGUGACCAGAAUCUUACGCGUCAAAUUUACCAUGGGCCUGUUUGAGAACCCUCUUGCCGAUUACAGUAUGGUUAACGAGGUUGGAAGCCAGGCACACAGAGAAAUAGCAAGGGAGGCAGUGAGGUCACUAGUGUUGCUGAAAUCAUGUUUGUUAACUGUUUUAUAAGAGACUAGGAGUUGAUAUUUUAUGUUAUUCGUAAGCCAAUAUUGAAAUCCAAUGUGAUUGUGCAUAUCAAAAUAUAUCGUGUUUGUGUGUUUCAAACGUUGGUGACGGUGGUAGUGUUAAAGCCUUU